rnacentral:rRNA from 1 species
UGGGGAGUACGGCCGCAAGGCUGAAACUCAACGGAAUUGACGGGGGCCCGCACAGCGGUGGAGCUGUGGUUUAAUUCGAAGCAACGCGAAGAACCUUACCAGGUCUUGACAUCCUCUGAAAACCCAGAGAUAGGGCUUCUCCUUCGGGAGCAGAGUGACAGGUGGUGCAUGGUCGUCGUCAGCUCGUGUCGUGAGAUGUUGGGUUAAGUCCCGCAACGAGCGCAACCCUUGAUCUUAGUUGCCAUCAUUAAGUUGGGCACUCUAAGGUGACUGCCGGUGACAAACCGGAGGAAGGUGGGGAUGACGUCAAAUCAUCAUGCCCCUUAUGACCUGGGCUACACACGUGCUACAAUGGACGGUACAAAGAGCUGCAAGACCGCGAGGUGGAGCUAAUCUCAUAAAACCGUUCUCAGUUCGGAUUGUAGGCUGCAACUCGCCUACAUGAAGCUGGAAUCGCUAGUAAUCGCGGAUCAGCAUGCCGCGGUGAAUACGUUCCCGGGCCUUGUACACACCGCCCGUCACACCACGAGAGUUUGUAACACCCGAAGUCGGUGGGGUAACCUUUAUGGAGCCAGCCGCCUAAGGUGGGACAGAUGAU